UACCAGCACCCCGAGUGGUCGGGACGUUUAUUGGGCCUAAAGCAUCCGUAGCCGGUUCUACAAGUCUUCCGUUAAAUCCACCUGCUUAACAGAUGGGCUGCGGAAGAUACUAUAGAGCUAGGAGGCGGGAGAGGCAAGCGGUACUCGAUGGGUAGGGGUAAAAUCCGUUGAUCCAUUGAAGACCACCAGUGGCGAAGGCGGCUUGCCAGAACGCACUCGACGGUGAGGGAUGUAAGCUGGGGGAGCAAACCGG
rnacentral:rRNA from 1 species